rnacentral:misc_RNA from 1 species
UGAUGGCAGGCAGGGACAGCUGAGA